rnacentral:rRNA from 1 species
UUAAAUUGAAGAGUUUGAUCAUGGCUCAGAUUGAACGCUGGCGGCAGGCUUAACACAUGCAAGUCGAACGGUAACAUGAGUGCUUGCACUUGAUGACGAGUGGCGGACGGGUGAGUAAUGUAUGGGGAUCUGCCGAAUGGAGGGGGACAACAGUUGGAAACGACUGCUAAUACCGCAUAAUGUUGAGA